GUCAUAUCUAAUACGUGUGAAAUGGAUUAUUCUCUGCUGCUCUUAAUCUGUACCUCAGCUGUUUUCGAGAAGACUUGGUGUCUAAAUACUUCAGAGAGCCCCACCUUUAACACAUCACAAUAUACUUCAGAGAGCCCCACCUUUAACACAUCACAAUAUACUUCAGAGAGCCCCACCUUUAACACAUCACAAUAUACUUCAGAGAGCUCCACCCCCAACACAUUACAAUAUACUUCAGAGAGCCCCACCUCUAACACAUCACAAUAUACUUCAGAGAGCCCCACCUUUAACACAUCACAAUAUACUUCAGAGAGCCCCACCUUUAACACAUCACAAUAUACUUCAGAGAGCCCCACCUUUAACACAUCACAAUAUACUUCAGAGAGCUCCACCCCCAACACAUUACAAUAUACUUCAGAGAGCCCCACCUCUAACACAUCACAAUAUACUUCAGAGAGCCCCACCUUUAACACAUCACAAUAUACUUCAGAGAGCCCCACCUUUAACACAUCACAAUAUACUUCAGAGAGCCCCACCUUUAACACAUCACAAUAUACUUCAGAGAGCUCCACCCCCAACACAUUACAAUAUACUUCAGAGAGCCCCACCUCUAACACAUCACAAUAUACUUCAGAGAGCCCCACCUUUAACACAUCACAAUAUACUUCAGAGAGCUCCACCCCCAACACAUUACAAUAUACUUCAGAGAGCCCCACCUCUAACACAUCACAAUAUACUUCAGAGAGCCCCACCUUUAACACAUCACAAUAUACUUCAGAGAGCCCCACCUUUAACACAUCACAAUAUACUUCAGAGAGCCCCACCUUUAACACAUCACAAUAUACUUCAGAGAGCUCCACCCCCAACACAUUACAAUAUACUUCAGAGAGCCCCACCUCUAACACAUCACAAUAUACUUCAGAGAGCCCCACCUCUAACACAUCACAAUAUACUUCAGAGAGCCCCACCUUUAACACAUUACAAUAUACUUCAGAGAGCUCCACCCCCAACACAUUAUAAUAUACUUCAGAGAGCCCCACCUCUAACACAUCACAAUAUACUUCAGAGAGCCCCACCUCUAACACAUCACAAUAUACUUCAGAGAGCCCCACCUUUAACACAUCACAAUAUACUUCAGAGAGCUCCACCCCCAACACAUUACAAUAUACUUCAGAGAGCCCCACCUCUAACACAUCACAAUAUACUUCAGAGAGCCCCACCUCUAACACAUCACAAUAUACUUCAGAGAGCACCACCUUUAACACAUCACAAUAUACUUCAGAGAGCCCCACCUCUAACACAUCACAAUAUACUUCAGAGAGCCCCACCUCUAACACAUCACAAUAUACUUCAGAGAGCCCCACCUCUAACACAUCACAAUAUACUUCAGAGAGCCCCACC
rnacentral:lncRNA from 1 species